CCGAGUUUACAACUCCCAAACCCCUGUGAACAUACCUAUACGUUGCCUCGGCGGAUCAGCCCGCGCCCCGUAAAAAGGGACGGCCCGCCCGAGGACCCCUAAACUCUGUUUUUAGUGGAACUUCUGAGUAAAACAAACAAAUAAAUCAAAACUUUCAACAACGGAUCUCUUGGUUCUGGCAUCGAUGAAGAACGCAGCAAAAUGCGAUAAGUAAUGUGAAUUGCAGAAUUCAGUGAAUCAUCGAAUCUUUGAACGCACAUUGCGCCCGCCAGUAUUCUGGCGGGCAUGCCUGUUCGAGCGUCAUUUCAACCCUCAAGCUCAGCUUGGUGUUGGGACUCGCGGUAACCCGCGUUCCCCAAAUCGAUUGGCGGUCACGUCGAGCUUCCAUAGCGUAGUAAUCAUACACCUCGUUACUGGUAAUCGUCGCGGCCACGCCGUAAAACCCCAACUUCUGAAUGUUGACCUCGGAUCAGGUAGGAAUACCCGCUGAACUUAAGCAUAUC
rnacentral:rRNA from 1 species